GAAUCGUCCAAACGUUGUUCGGAUUCACUGGGUUUAAAGGGCGCGUAGGCGGUGCGUUAAGUCGGCGGUGAAAUACUUCGGCUCAACCGGAGAAUUGCCGCUGAAACUAGCGUGCUCGAGGAAGGUAGAGGUGCGUGGAACUUCCGGUGGAGCGGUGAAAUGCGUUGAUAUCGGAAGGAACACCUGUGGCGAAAGCGAUGCACUGGACCUUUUCUGACGCUGAGGCGCGAAAGCCAGGGGAGCGAACGGGAUUAGAUACCCCGGUAGUCCUGGCCAUAAACGAUGGGGACUAGAGAGUAGAUGCUCCGAUGUGUUUACUCUCGAAGCAAAAGUGCUAAGUCCCCCACCUGGGGAGUAUGGUCGCAAGGCUGAA
rnacentral:rRNA from 1 species